GAGAUACAAGGAUGGAAAGCACUCAAUUCCCUUUGGUUGCAUAGUUGGACCAACCACCAACGCGUUUUGGAUCCCACCCUUUUGUGGAUCCCUAGAAUCAUCUGGACCAGCAAUACAAUGAAAACACAUAUUAUGGUAAAAUAACUUGAAUCGGCAUAUAAAAUCCAACACAAGAAUACUAAACAUUCCGCCAUACCUGUUCUAUAUUAAACCAGAUUGAAAAAAGUAUUGACUUCACAACAGAUAUUGAAUACAAAUCAAACAUUCCAACUUAGUUCUGUGCAUACAUGAAAAUAUAGUCUUGGUUACAUUAACCCCGGAUACUAGAUUUAGCUAUCACAAAAUUUAACUGCAUUUUCAGUAUUCUAGCAUGUGCUUCAGUUAGGGCAUAUCAUUAUAAGACUAACAGUAUGCAAAGUAUACGUAAUCCAAUAUUAUAAAGUUAAUACUGAAAUUGACAAGUACCAUUGGAUUCCCUUUACGAUUUAAGAUUUUAUUUAAAAAUUGAGAUAUAUAUAUUUAUUAUAUUAAUUCUUAUUUUUUAUCUUUAAGAAAAUAUUAGAUUUUAAAACUAGAUGAUAUUAUUAUUAAAAUUGUUUUGUGUUGGCUCUUUCUUUCAUAACAUUAAUUUUUAUGUUCUAAGUUCUUUUUGUAAAAAUAAAACGAAAUAUAAUCAUAAUCACAGGAGCAAUUCAGGUAGGACAAUGAUCAAAAGAGAAGAUAUUAUAUACAUGCAUAUGAUAAUAAACCAUAAUUAUUUUUUGAAAUUAAGCAGAAAAUUGAUUAGUUGGAAUUGAUUAGAAAAUGGAGUUAAAAGAUAAAAAAGAAGUCCAAACAUACAAAUCCUGAAGUUCCUUCAAACAUAAUAGUCAGAGUCCAGUAGUCUAGAUCAAUUCUUACAAAAAAAAAUUGUCUU
rnacentral:lncRNA from 1 species